UCAGGGUUGUGUUAGAUUUUAUUUGGUCUCGUUUUCUUUUUGAGUGUAUCCUUUAUGUUUUUCCACAGGUUAAACCCCAUUAAAAUAGUCAAGAACAAAAAAACAAGUACACACAUUCUCACAAACACGCCUCUGAUGCACAACAAUAAAAUAGUUUUUGAUUAGGCCCAGCCCAGUGCGGAUUUCACAAACAACUCAACAAAUGACGACAUCCUCUCAAAGCCCAACGACAAACUCAUACGAGCAGAAACCAAGGGCUCUAUUCAAUUCCUAUUGCCAAACUGAAAUGUAAAGGCACUGUUCCCACGUUGGCAGAGAGAGCAUUCAAGGUAAAUGCUGCGUAUGUCGGCUCACUCAGAAAUUCCUUUACAUUUCCAUCCACGAAAUCUGUAACGCUUCAGCGAUACAGACUGAAUAGAGCCCCAAAUCUGGGAAAUUGUACUACUUUGAGGAAAUGCAACACAACACUCAUCACAUAGCCUAUGUUUUUGAAGAAAAUUAAAAUGGAUUCAGAAAGGAAUGUUUAACAAACACAAAGCAAAUAUAUAUAUUCUACAGAGACAGGGAGGAAGUCACAAAAUGUCCACUGUUGUCAAGACAUAUUUCAGUCAAACUGAAGACCUCAUCUCUACAGGGUGGAUAGCAGUCUCUCAGUAUGGGUGCCUCGAAAGGAUCUCCGUUUGGGAUCUUGUUCAAUGUACAAGUCAGAAGGAUAUCUCUCGAAAAAUAUUUAUGCCUAGAGAGAUUUUACAAAACCAUUUUGGUUCAAUUUGGAAGCAGGAACAUGAGAGUUUUCCCCAGUGAAGCGCCCAUACUGUUUCAUCUUAAAUACUCCAGUGAAAAACUAAUGUGAAAUACAAUAAAAACCUAUGUCAUCCAAAAAUAUGAAGCAAUCAAGCAUCCUAAUGUAGACUGUCUCUGGCCCUCUUCAAAAUGUUUUAAGUCCAGUGUUUUAAAAAAAGGGCCAUUAUAAAUAUGUCCUAUCACUUGUCACCCUAUAUAAAAAACUCCAUAGCAAGCUGAUGGGAGCUGGUCACAGUAAGGAGUACUACAGUGCAUUUGGAAAGUAUUCAGACCCCUUCCCUUUUUUCAAAUUUUGUUACGUUACAGCCUUAUUCUAAAAUGGAUUAAAUAAAAUGAUUCGCCUCAAUCUACACACAAUACCCCAUAAUGACAGAGUGAACACAGGUUUCCAAAAUUGUUGAAAAAAAAAAGUGUGUAUAUAUAUAUAUAUAUAUAUAUAUAAACUAUUCAGACCCUUUGCUGUGAGACUCGAAAUUCUCAGAUGCAUCCUGUUUCCGAUGAUCAUCCUUGAGAUGUUCCUACAACUUGAUUGGAGUCCACGUGUAGUAAAUUCAAUUGAUUGGACAUGAUUUGGAAAGGCACACCCCUGUCUAUAUAAGGUCCCACAGUUGACAGUGCAUGUCAGAGCAAAAACCAGCCAUGAGGUGAAAGGAAUUGUCUGUAGAGCUCCGAGACAGGAUUGUGUCGAGGCACAGAUUUGGGGAAGGGUACCAAAAACUUCCUGCAGCAUUGAAGAUCCCGAAAAGAACACAGUGGCCUCCAUCAUUCUUAAACGGAAGAAGUUUGGAACCACCAAGACUCUUCCUAGAGCUGGCCGCCCGGCCAAACUGAGCAAUCGGUGGAGAAGGGCCUCGGUCAGGGAUGUGACCAAGAACCCGAUGGUCACUCAGACAGAGCUCCAGAAUUCCUCUGUGGAGAUAGAAGAACCUUCCAGAAGGACAAUCAUCUCUGCAGCACUCCACCAAAUCAAGCCUUUAUGGUAGAGUGGCCAGACGGAAGCCACUCCUCAGUAAAAGGCACAUGAUUGCCCAAUUAGAAUUUGCCAAAAGGCACCUAAAGGACUCUUCAAAUCAUGUCCAAUUGAAUUUAACACAGGUGGACUCCAAUCAAGUUGUAGAAUGAUCAAGAAUGAUCAAUGGAAACAGGAUGCACUUGAGCUCAAUUUCAAGUCUCAUAGCAAAGGUUCUGAAUACUUAUG
rnacentral:lncRNA from 1 species